rnacentral:lncRNA from 1 species
CGAAAAACAACAAACCUACGAUAAUUGUGAAGAACACAAUCAUAACUAUCUCCUGCAAAAAAUAAAAACAAACCAAAACUUCAUAUACUGCAGAACACAAGAACUGAUACUCUCAAAACCAUACCUCGACUACAACCACAAUACAUAAACCCAAACUACCUAAAACAUCAUGUACAUAAAUCCUCUAUAGUCUGUAAGUAAAUACCCAUAAAAGUAGAAUGAAAAAUUCCAGUACGUUCGAUAACAUAUUAACAUGUAAUCAUGUAUAUUCUUAUUUAUACUCCCAAUAAUCAGAAACUCAUACAUCAUUACGACGGCAUCAUAUACAACUACCAAUGGCUAAACUAUACUUCGUUCGAAAAAAACCCAAAAUAUCUUCAAACAAAACUGUCUUGCAAAUACAAUAUGACAUACGAAAAUACAAGUUCAAAACUACUAGAGUAAAAGUUUCCUAUCAGAAUAAACCAACAAAUACGAUAAUAUAGCACACCUAUGAAUACAAUAUAAGUCCAAUGACCAAAAUUCCGGUAGGCUUAAAGAAAAAACGGAUGACCAAAACUCCGGUAGGCUUAAAGAAAAAACGGAUGACCAAAACUCAGAGACGAAGCAAAAGAAAACAUAAGAAGAAACACCUGUACAAGAUAAGAUAACAUAACAAAGAAACACAGACGAAGCAAAAGAAAAUGCUAACCUUCUUCAAAGAUGAACACUAGGAUCGGGGGGAGGGGCUUCUUCAAACAGAAAAACCUAAAAGAGAGACUCUGGGAGACAACAACGAAAAACCCUACUACUUAUACACUACAAUGGCAGUUGCCCCGAUCGAUCGCACAACCACCGCUUCAAACCACCGCACAACGCUUCACCGAGGACGCGUCUGUUUCUAAAUUUCUAUGACUUGUUCUACUGGCGUACAACAACUUGGCUCAUUUAACACACCUAUCUUUGACAUACCAGAAGUUUUCAUUCCUCUAAUUGUCGUUCUUUCUUUUUCUUCUUCCUCGUUCAUUUCUUCUCCUCUCUGAUCUUCGAUCUCCACGACUGAAGCCGUUCUCAUCGGCUGCUUCUAUCACCAGCAUCAACAUCAACGACGAUAAGGUGAAAACCUUAACAGUUCCUUUAUUCUACAUUGAUUGUGUGAGAUGAAAAAAAAAUACAAGACUAACCUUGUAGGUGUUGUUUUCCAAUCCUCCGUUCAUCUUUAACCCG